rnacentral:rRNA from 1 species
GAUGAACGCUGGCGGCGUGCUUAACACAUGCCAGUCGAACGGAGAGGCUCCUGCUUUCAGGGGUACUCAAGUGACUAACGGGUGGGUAACAAGUGGGUGAUCUACCCGCCCCUUCGGGAUAAGCCUGGGAAGCUGGGGAUAGUUACGGAUAGGUCCAUGGUUUUGAUGCCAUUGUGGAUAGUUUUUCGGUGUGGGAUGCGCUCGCGGCCUAUCAGCUGGUUGGGGAUGUAUUGGCGUACCAAGGCGUCGACGGGUCGCCGGCCUGAGAGGGUGUACGGCCACAUUGGGACUGAGAUACGGCCCAGACUGAUACGGGCGGCAGCAGUGGGGAAUAGUGCGCACUGGGCGGAAGCAUGAUGCAGCGCCGUCGCGUGGGGGAUGACUGCCUUCGGGUUGUAAACUCCUUUCGCUAGGGAGGAAGCGGAAGUGACGGUACCUGGAGAAGAAGCACCGGCUAACUACGUG